UCCGGUGGCUAUAGAGAAGAGGAAACACCUGUUCCCAUUCCGAACACAGAAGUUAAGCUCUUCAUCGCCGAUGGUACUGCGUGGGUAACCGCGUGGGAGAGUAGGGCGCUGCCGGGG
rnacentral:rRNA from 1 species